AUUGAACGCUGGCGGCAUGCCUUACACAUGCAAGUCGAACGGUAACAGGUCUUCGGAUGCUGACGAGUGGCGAACGGGUGAGUAAUACAUCGGAACGUGCCUAGUAGUGGGGCAUAACUACUCGAAAGAGUGGCUAAUACCGCAUGAGAUCUACGGAUGAAAGCAGGGGAUCGCAAGACCUUGUGCUACUAGAGCGGCCGAUGGCAGAUUAGGUAGUUGGCGGGAUAAAAGCUUACCAAGCCGACGAUCUGUAGCUGGUCUGAGAGGACGAUCACCCAGACGGGGACUGGGACACGGCCCAGACUCCUACGGGAGGAAGCAGUGGGGAAUUUUGGACAAUGGGCGCAAGCCUGAUCCAGCAAUGCCGCGUGCAGGAUGAAGGCCUUCGGGUUGUAAACUGCUUUUGUACGGAACGAAAAGCCCCGGGUUAAUACCCUGGGGUCGUGACGGUACCGUAAGAAUAAGCACCGGCUAACUACGUGCCAGCCGCCGCCGUAA
rnacentral:rRNA from 1 species